rnacentral:rRNA from 1 species
UACGGGGGGAGCAAGCGUUGUUCGGAUUUACUGGGCGUAAAGGGCGCGUAGGCGGCGCGACAAGUCACUUGUGAAAUCUCUGAGCUUAACUCAGAGCGGCCAAGUGAUACUGUCAUGCUAGAGUGCGGAAGGGGCAACUGGAAUUCUCGGUGUAGCGGUGAAAUGCGUAGAUAUCGAGAGGAACACCUGCGGCGAAGGCGGGUUGCUGGGCCGACACUGACGCUGAGGCGCGAAAGCUAGGGGAGCGAACGGG